rnacentral:rRNA from 1 species
UACGACUACAUAUCAGGCAUAUCAAUAAGCGGAGGAAAAGAAACUAACUAGGAUUCCCUCAGUAACGGCGAGUGAAGCGGGAAGAGCUCAAAUUUGAAAUCUUCAAGGUUCUACCUUGACGAAUUGUAGUUUAAAGAAGUGUUUUCUGUUGAAGUUUUGGUAAAAGUUCUUUGGAAUAGGACAUCAUAGAGGGUGAGAAUCCCGUAUUUGACCAUUAUUUCCAGCUUUGUGAUAAUACACUUUCAAAGAGUCGGAUUGUUUGGGAAUGCAGUCCAAAAUGGGUGGUAAAUUUCAUCUAAAGCUAGAUAUUGGCGAGAGACCGAUAGCGAACAAGUACCGUGAGGGAAAGAUGAAAAGAACUUCGAAAAGAGAGUUAAACAGUACGUGAAAUUGUCAAAAGGGAAGCGUUUGACACCAGUGUUGUUUUCUCGAAAAUCAAUUAAAAAAAGUUGGAUUUUGUGUUGUAUUGACCUUAACAGCUUGCUUCACUCUUUUCCAGCUUUUUUUAAUGCACUUUUCGUUUAACAAGUCAACAUCAGUUUCUUUUGUUGUAAAAGGGUCAUUGGAAGGUGGCUUUCUCUUCGGAGAAAGUGUUUAUAGCCUUUGAUCUCUGCAAUCGGAGAGACUGAGGUCUGCAGCGUAGAUCCUUCGGGGUUAGAUACAUUUGUGCUAAGUUAUAGCUUUUCAUAGACAACUUGUUGACUAUGUUUAGUCUUGCUACUUACUCGCUUGUGCUAUUUUACCUACGCUUAGGAUGUUGAGCGCAUGUCUCUCUCU